rnacentral:rRNA from 1 species
UACGUAGGGGGCAAGCGUUGUCCGGAAUCAUUGGGCGUAAAGCGCGUGUAGGCGGCUCGGUAAGUCCGCUCUGAAAGCCCGGGGCUCAACCCCGGGAGGCGGGUGGAUACUGCUGAGCUCGAGUCCGGAAGAGGAGUGUGGAAUUCCUGGUGUAGCGGUGAAAUGCGCAGAUAUCAGGAAGAACACCGAUGGCGAAGGCAGCUCUCUGGGACGGUACUGACGCUGAGACGCGAAAGCGUGGGGAGCGAACAGG